rnacentral:ncRNA from 1 species
AAAGACUUAGUCCUAACCUUACCGUUGAUUGUUGCUAGACAUAUACAUGCAAGUAUCCGCGCCCCAGUGUAAAUGCCCUUCCCCUACUACUCGACCUAGGCAGAGGAGCAGGUAUCAGGCACACUCAACCUGUGGUGGCCCAAGACGCCUUGCUUAGCCACACCCCCACGGGCACUCAGCAGUAAUUAACAUUAAGCAAUAAGUGAAAACUUGACUUAGCCAUAGCAAUCCACAAGGGUUGGUUAAUCUUGUGCCAGCCACCGCGGUCAUACAAGAGACCCAAAUUAACUGUAGUACGGCGUAAAGAGUGGUGACAUACUAUCAUACCAACUAAGAUCAAAAUAUAGUCGAGCUGUCAUAAGCCCAAACUACACUUAAGAUCACUCUGAAGACAAUCUUAGCGCUCGCGAUUGAUAAGACCCACGAAAGCUAAGGCACAAACUGGGAUUAGAUACCCCACUAUGCUUAGCCCUAAAUCUUGAUACUUAGUCCACUAAAGUAUCCGCCCGAGAACUACGAGCACAAACGCUUAAAACUCUAAGGACUUGGCGGUGCCCCAAACCCACCUAGAGGAGCCUGUUCUAUAAUCGAUAACCCACGAUGUACCUAACCACCCCUUGCCAAAACAGCCUACAUACCGCCGUCGCCAGCUUACCUCUACUGAGAGUGUAGCAGUGAGCACAACAGCCCUAACCGCGCUAGCAAGACAGGUCAAGGUAUAGCUCAUGGAGUGGAAGAAAUGGGCUACAUUUUCUAAGCUAGAAAACUACGGAGAGGGGUGUGAAACCACCCCUGGAAGGCGGAUUUAGAAGUAAAGUGGGAUAAUAAAGCCUACUUUAAACUGGCCCUGGGGCACGUACAUACCGCCCGUCACCCUCAUCACAAACCACCCAAGCCUAAUAGUUAAUGCCACACCCAACCAAAGAUGAGGUAAGUCGUAACAAGGUAAGUGUACCGGAAGGUGUACUUAGCAUAU